GUAUAGAGGGUGAAUUCUGCCCAAUGGUUGUAUAGUGAAACUGAGGACUAACGUCUAAAGCGAAACCCAACUGAAUGGCCGCGGUAACUCUGACCGUGAUAAUGUAGCACAAUAAAUAGCCAAUUAAUUGUUGGCGGGUAUGAAUGGAACCACGAGGGUCUUACUGUCUCAAGAGGAAAGCCGAUGAAAUUAUAAUUGUAGUGAAGAUACUACAUAAACAUUGUAAGACGAAAAGACCCUAUCGAGCUUUACUGGAUACCGAUAGCGUUAAUUUAGAAUGAUCGAUACUAAGUAUCCUAGUUCUAAGUUAAUAAUUUUUGUUGGUAGGACAGUUUAGUUGGGGCGACUACCUUUGAAUAAGAAACGAAGGCGAGCUUAUGGUAUUAAUAAAAUCUCAUUAGCCUGACAGUGAGGGGGACACCCCUAGCUGGCACAAGGACCCCCCUAGGGGGUUCCUAUGUGGGCGAUAGUGACCCGAUAUUAUUAUCCAAAAUAAAUAUCGAAAGCGGAUAAAAGCUACCGUAGGGAUAACAGCGUAAUAUUGUCGGAGAGUUCUUAUCGAGGACAGUGUUUGCGACCUCGAUGUUGAAUUGCGGUGCCCUGGUGCUGUAGAAGGUACCUUAGGUUGGUC
rnacentral:rRNA from 1 species